GACGAACGCUGGCGGCGUGCCUAAUACAUGCAAGUAGAACGCUGACGGAGGAGCUUGCUUCUCUGGAUGAGUUGCGAACGGGUGAGUAACGCGUAGGUAACCUGCCUGGUAGCGGGGGAUAACUAUUGGAAACGAUAGCUAAUACCGCAUAACAGUAGAUAUCGCAUGAUAUCCACUUGAAAGUUGCAAUUGCAUCACUACCAUAUGGACCUGCGUUGUAUUAGCUAGUUGGUGAGGUAACGGCUCACCAAGGCGACGAUACAUAGCCGACCUGAGAGGGGGAUCGGCCAAACUGGGAAUGGGACCCGGCCCAGACUCCUACGGGGGGCAGCAGUAGGGAAACUUCGGCAAUGGACGGAAGGCUGAACGCGCAACGACGCGUUAGUGAAGAAGGUUUUCGGGUCGUAAAGCUCUGUUGUAAGAGAAGAAAGAGUGUGAGAGUGGAAAGUUCACACUGUGACGGUAUCUUACCAGAAAGGGACGGCUAACUACGUG
rnacentral:rRNA from 1 species